rnacentral:rRNA from 1 species
GGGUUGUGAGGUUAAGUGACUAAGCGUACACGGUGGAUGCCCUGGCAGUCAGAGGCGAUGAAGGACGUGCUAAUCUGCGAUAAGCGUCGGUAAGGUGAUAUGAACCGUUAUAACCGGCGAUUUCCGAAUGGGGAAACCCAGUGUGUUUCGACACACUAUCAUUAACUGAAUCCAUAGGUUAAUGAGGCGAACCGGGGGAACUGAAACAUCUAAGUACCCCGAGGAAAAGAAAUCAACCGAGAUUCCCCCAGUAGCGGCGAGCGAACGGGGAGCAGCCCAGAGCCUGAAUCAGUGUGUGUGUUAGUGGAAGCGUCUGGAAAGGCGCGCGAUACAGGGUGACAGCCCCGUACACAAAAAUGCACAU